rnacentral:rRNA from 1 species
AUGGCACAGACAAUGGGUAGUCAAUAUAGAUUUUUUCCUGAUGAUUUGGAGUUUUCACCGGAUGAUAUUGACCACCCAGCCACAAUGCAAUCUCAAACUGUUUUUGAUGUGGUUGAUAGUACUGAGAGAUGUGAGUCCUCCAUGGUUAAUCAGGAAGAACCACUCAUAGAUUGGAGCUUGAUUGAGAUAGCUCCUCCCAUAACUGAAGAAGACAAUAUGUGUGAUCCUCUUGGUAUUAACGAUGUCGACAUUCCCAUAACCGAAGAGAAUAUGUGUGAUCUUCUUGGUAUCAACGAUGAGGCAGUCCCCGAGCCACCGCCUUCUCCACCUAGUGAGGAAGUUUACAUGGCCGAUGAGGAGGACCGUCAGCUUUUCAUUGAGGCUGCCAUUCCCAUGGAUGAUAGUGUGCCACCGGAUGAGGAGAUUGCAUAUGACAAAGAGAACCCGCAGAUGUAUCUUGGUGCUUUGUUUCCUUCAAUGAAAGAUUUUAGGAUGGCUAUUAGACAAUAUGGAAUUAAAAGGGAGAUCGACAUUUGGGGAUAUAAGACUGAUAAGAAAAGAUAUCUUGGCAAAUGUAGAGCCAAGGGUUGUCCAUGGAGGAUUACAGCGAGAGUGAGGACUGAUGGACAAAGCACAAGGGUACUAUAG